UACGAAGGGGGCUAGCGUUGUUCGGAAUCACUGGGCGUAAAACGCACGUAGGCGGAUGGUUAAGUCAGAGGUGAAAGCCUGGAGCUCAACUCCAGAACUGCCUUUGAUACUGGCCAUCUCGAGUCCGGAAGAGGUAAGUGGAACUGCGAGUGUAGAGGUGAAAUUCGUAGAUAUUCGCAAGAACACCAGUGGCGAAGGCGGCUUACUGGUCCGGUACUGACGCUGAGGUGCGAAAGCGUGGGGAGCAAACAGG
rnacentral:rRNA from 1 species